rnacentral:rRNA from 1 species
UACGGGGGGGGGCAAGCGUUGUUCGGAAUUACUGGGCGUAAAGGGCUCGUAGGUGGCCAACUAAGUCAGACGUGAAAUCCCUCAGCUUAACUGGGGAACUGCGUCUGAUACUGGAUGGCUUGAGUUUGGGAGAGGGAUGCGGAAUUCCAGGUGUAGCGGUGAAAUGCGUAGAUAUCUGGAGGAACACCGGUGGCGAAGGCGGCAUCCUGGACCAUUACUGACGCUGAGUGAGCGAAAGCCAGGGGAGCAAACGGG